GUGCUGAAGCAACAAAUGCCCUGCUUCCAGGAAAAGCCUCUAAGCCUCAGGUAACAUCAAAUCGUACCCCAAACCGACACAGGUGGUCAGGUAGAGAAUACCAAGGCGCUUGAGAGAACUCGGGUGAAGGAACUAGGCAAAAUGGUGCCGUAACUUCGGGAGAAGGCACGCUGACACGUAGGUGAAGUGGUUUACCCAUGGAGCUGAAGUCAGUCGAAGAUACCAGCUGGCUGCAACUGUUUAUUAAAAACACAGCACUGUGCAAACACGAAAGUGGACGUAUACGGUGUGACGCCUGCCCGGUGCCGGAAGGUUAAUUGAUGGGGUCAGCGCAAGCGAAGCUCCUGAUCGAAGCCCCGGUAAACGGCGGCCGUAACUAUAACGGUCCUAAGGUAGCGAAAUUCCUUGUCGGGUAAGUUCCGACCUGCACGAAUGGCGUAAUGAUGGCCAGGCUGUCUCCACCCGGGACUCAGUGAAAUUGAACUCGCUGUGAAGAUGCAGUGUACCCGCGGCAAGACGGAAAGACCCCGUGAACCUUUACUAUAGCUUGACACUGAACACUGGUCCUUGAUGUGCAGGAUAGGUGGGAGGCUUUGAAGUGUGGACGCCAGUCUGCAUGGAGCCAUCCUUGAAAUACCACCCUUUAAUGGCUGGUGUUCUAACGUGGGCCCGUGAACCGGGUUGCGGACAGUGUCUGGUGGGUAGUUUGACUGGGGCGGUCUCCUCCUAAAGAGUAACGGAGGAGCACGAAGGUUGGCUAAUCCUGGUCGGACAUCAGGAGGUUAGUGCAAUGGCAUAAGCCAGCUUGACUGCGAGCGUGACGGCGCGAGCAGGUGCGAAAGCAGGUCAUAGUGAUCCGGUGGUUCUGAAUGGAAGGGCCAUCGCUCAACGGAUAAAAGGUACUCCGGGGAUAACAGGCUGAUACCGCCCAAGAGUUCAUAUCGACGGCGGUGUUUGGCACCUCGAUGUCGGCUCAUCACAUCCUGGGGCUGAAGUAGGUCCCAAGGGUAUGGCUGUUCGCCAUUUAAAGUGGUACGCGAGCUGGGUUUAGAACGUCGUGAGACAGUUCGGUCCCUAUCUGCCGUGGGCGCUGGAAGAUUGAGGGGGGCUGCUCCUAGUACGAGAGGACCGGAGUGGACGCAUCACUGGUGUUCGGGUUGUCAUGCCAAUGGCACUGCCCGGUAGCUACAUGCGGAAGAGAUAAGUGCUGAAAGCAUCUAAGCACGAAACUUGCCCCGAGAUGAAUCUUCCCUGAGCCUUUAAGGCUCCUGAAGGAACGUUGAAGACGACGACGUUGAUAGGCCGGGUGUGUAAGCGCAGCGAUGCGUUGAGCUAACCGGUACUAAUGAACCGUGAGGCUUAACCUUACA
rnacentral:rRNA from 1 species